UCAUAUAAAGGCCAGCCACUGGAGGGAGAGUAUCUCUUGGACCUGGGCUGCUUCCUUAGGUGUGCUGUAUUGCUGGAGAGCCUCUUCUCUAGCUGGCUAAUAAGAACAUCCCCAGGACAGAGAGGAUAAACACUGUGAUUCUUGAGUCCUUCCUGUUACAGCUCUACGCCUUUAAUCACUGAAGUAUUCUUCUUUGAAGGUUUCAGAUGAUUAUACUCAUUUAUGUUGAACUGCAACUCACUUGACAUCUGCUGGAAGCCCAGGAAAUGAAUGAACUUGGAGUAAGAUGAUUUUUCUCCCUGUUGGAGCAAGCUGCUAUAUAGGAUACGUGUGCUUCUGAACUUUAAAUGAGAGACGUUGGCCAGGCAGUGUUGUGGAUGAAAGAGGAAAAUAAAGAAGGCAAGAAGAUAAGAUAUUCAUCUCUUAAACAGCUGGAAACCAGACUUCUCAGUUGCUACAUUUAGCAUAGCAGAAAGGCACAUUAAUAAUUAGGGAAAUUUUCUAAAGUGCAAUGAAGAUGAAACAUAUAUAUAUAAUUACUAUUAAGGUGAUUACAUGUUAACUCAUGGUUCUUCUUGGCCUGAGACAAAUCUACAGUCAAGAAGUUUCUAUAAUUAAUCUUUAUGGGAUAGAUUUCAAAAUGAACUGAUUCUCUCAUCUAAGACUGGUGAAUAGGAGGGAAAAAAAAGGAAGAUUACUGCUGUGUUAAAGGUUUGUAAUACUUAAAGGGAAGACCAGGUGUUUUAAGGAAGGACUUGUAAUUGAGGCAUCAGUUCUGCUCUGGACUUGAAUGCAGAGAGAGUCGGAGCUGUAUCAAACAGGAGGCCUGGCCUCAGUACGCCAUUCCUGACUGUGGAUUGCACUUCCACCUUGCUUUUAUCACUUCAGCCUGUAUGAGCACUUUUAUCCUUUGAAGCUGGUUACAGUGGUGUCUGCACUGUGGAGUUAACUGUUUGACUGCACUGCAUGAGGGCAAAAAACACAUCUAUAGCAUAUUUAAUAAACAAAAUAUGUCCAACUCAUUAAAGAAUGUGUUCCCAGAGAAGUCCAGAUAGCUGAAGAUCUGAGUGCAACUAUUGUUUUCAUCUGUGUCCCUGACUUGGUUUCAUUGCUUUUGUCUUUCUUCUCGAAUGUGUCAGCUAAAAAUGCUGACUGGGAGUGAGAACCCUAACAGUGCAGGAGCUACGAAGUUGAGAUUGCUACAUACUUUGUGCACAAACAGACUUAUUGUAUACAAACAUAGUACUGCAAAUUAUGAAAAAUCACAUUCUUCCCACAUUGUGUAUACCUCUAUCCUUUCAUAGUCACUUGAACACAGUAUGGUAGAGCAAACUGAAUUCCAAGGACUACCCUUGAGCCUUCUGCUGUUUCCAGGAUUUGAUUCUCUGUUGCUUGCUUAUUCAGGUCUUAUUUGAGACCAAGAACUGAAUAAGUAGCAUCUUUAUCUUAACUGUUUCACUAAAUAGUUUCUUCCUCUGGCUUAAGGGCACAAUUUUCACUGUUUUAUUUUAUUUUUUGGAGUUACCUUUCAUCAGGUAUAUAAUGAGCUCCUUUAAAUUCAGAAAGAAGAGAUGGCUUUGCUUGAGAAAUGAUCAUUAACUUGGCAACUUCAGGAGGGCUCUAAGCUUGCUUCUGUGUUAUCUUUCCAUUUUGGUGUGGCAUUUCCCUGUGCAAACCUGAUCCCUCUGAAAACAGCCAGUAAAAACUGAAGAAGUACAAUAUGCAUGUGUGUUCUUUGUGAUGAGAUGAGCGUCCUUGAGCUUUUUACUAUUGUAUUUGUCAUUUUCCCAUCUACUGUACACCUGUCCUAUGCUGGCGCUGUUCAUGGAUGAUUAUCAGUUUCAAAGUCAGAUUUGUUCUUACAAUUAUUUUCUAGUACAUAAUGAAGACUGCUUCCUGUACUCAGUGAAAUGCAGCUAAAUACACAUGGCCCACCUGGCAUCUUUAUCUUUUUUCUACAGCGUAAUAAUCAUAUUUAACAUAAAUAAGUAGCUUUAACAGCCUACAAUAAUAACCCCUUGGCCAGCACACCACAGGUAAGAAGAUGAUACUCCUAAACACUGAGAUGCUGUGAUGGAUCUAGAUGAAACUCAUAGCACUGGUGUUGGCAUAACUAAUAAUGAUAAUUGAGGGGUACACCUGCAGAUUCAGACAAAAGCUUGCACUGGUGUGGCAGCUUGUAAUUAAUAGAUGAGUUCCAGUCAAACCUGUGCAGGA